rnacentral:rRNA from 1 species
GGGAAUCUACCUAGUUCUACGGAACAACACAGGGAAACUUGUGCUAAUACCGUAUACGCCCUACGGGGGAAAGAUUUAUCGGAAUUAGAUGAGCCCGCGUAAGAUUAGCUAGUUGGUGGGGUAAUGGCCUACCAAGGCGACGAUCUUUAGCUGGUCUGAGAGGAUGAUCAGCCACACUGGGACUGAGACACGGCCCAGACUCCUACGGGAGGCAGCAGUGGGGAAUAUUGGACAAUGGGCGCAAGCCUGAUCCAGCCAUGCCGCGUGAGUGAUGAAGGCCUUAGGGUUGUAAAGCUCUUUCAGUAGGGAAGAUAAUGACGGUACCUACAGAAGAAGCCCCGGCUAACUUCGUGCCAGCAGCCGCGGUAAUACGAAGGGGGCUAGCGUUGUUCGGAUUUACUGGGCGUAAAGCGCACGUAGGCGGUUUGUUAAGUCAGAGGUGAAAUCCCGGAGCUCAACUCCGGAACUGCCUUUGAUACUGGCAAGCUAGAGUCCGGAAGAGGUAAGUGGAACUCCUAGU